ACUCAAAUGAAUUGACGGGGGCCCGCACAAGCGGUGGAGCAUGUGGUUUAAUUCGAUGCAACGCGAAGAACCUUACCUGGUCUUGACAUCCACAGAACUUUCCAGAGAUGGAUUGGUGCCUUCGGGAACUGUGAGACAGGUGCUGCAUGGCUGUCGUCAGCUCGUGUUGUGAAAUGUUGGGUUAAGUCCCGCAACGAGCGCAACCCUUAUCCUUUGUUGCCAGCGGUUAGGCCGGGAACUCAAAGGAGACUGCCAGUGAUAAACUGGAGGAAGGUGGGGAUGACGUCAAGUCAUCAUGGCCCUUACGACCAGGGCUACACACGUGCUACAAUGGCAUAUACAAAGAGAAGCGACCUCGCGAGAGCAAGCGGACCUCAUAAAGUAUGUCGUAGUCCGGAUUGGAGUCUGCAACUCGACUCCAUGAAGUCGGAAUCGCUAGUAAUCGUAGAUCAGAAUGCUACGGUGAAUACGUUCCCGGGCCUUGUACACACCGCCCGUCACACCAUGGGAGUGGGUUGCAAAAGAAGUAGGUAGCUUAACCUUCGGGAGGGCGCUNACCACUUGNGAUCA
rnacentral:rRNA from 1 species